AUCUUCUCUGGGGAAAUCUACUGGCUUAACCAAUAGGCGUCUCAGGGAUACUGGCAGACUAGGGACCGGGAGAGGUGAGGGGUACUCCAGGGGUAGGAGUGAAAUCCUGUAAUCCUUGGGGGACCACCUGUGGCGAAGGCGUCUCACCAGAACGGCUCCGACAGUGAGGGACGAAAGCUGGGGGAGCAAACCGGAUUAGAUACCCGGGUAGUCCCAGCUGUAAACGAUGCGCGUUAGGUGUAUCGGUGACCACGAGUCACCGAGGUGCCGAAGAGAAAUCGUGAAACGUGCCGCCUGGGAAGUACGGUCGCAAGGCUGAAACUUAAAGGAAUUGGCGGGGGAGCACCACAAGGGGUGAAGCUUGCGGUUUAAUUGGAGUCAACGCCGGAAAUCUUACCGGGGGCGACAGCAGGAUGAAAGCCAGAUUAAAGGUCUUGCCAGACGAGCUGAGAGGAGGUGCAUGGCCGUCGCCAGUUCGUGCCGUGAGGUGUCCUGUUAAGUCAGGCAACGAUCGAGACCCGCAUUCCCCGUUGCUACCAGCCUUGAGCUGGGCACACUGGGGAGACCGCCGCCGAUAAGGCGGAGGAAGGAGCGGGCCACGGCAGGUCAGUAUGCCCCAGAUCUCCUGGGCCACACGCGAGCUGCAAUGGCAGGUACAAUGGGUUCCGACCUCGAAAGGGGAAGGCAAUCUCGAAAGCCUGCCGUAGAGAUCGGAAGAGCACACGUCU
rnacentral:rRNA from 1 species